UACGGAGGAUCCGAGCGUUAUCCGGAUUUAUUGGGUUUAAAGGGUGCGUAGGCGGCUUAUUAAGUCAGGGGUGAAAGACGGUAGCUUAACUAUCGCAGUGCCUUUGAUACUGAUGAGCUUGAAUAUACUUGAGGUAGGCGGAAUGUGACAAGUAGCGGUGAAAUGCAUAGAUAUGUCACAGAACACCGAUUGCGAAGGCAGCUAACUACGGGAUGAUUGACACUGAUGCACGAAAGCGUGGGGAUCAAACAGG
rnacentral:rRNA from 1 species